rnacentral:other from 12 species
CCUCCCGGGAGAGCCAUAGUGGUCUGCGGAACCGGUGAGUACACCGGAAUUGCCGGGAAGACUGGGUCCUUUCUUGGAUAAACCCACUCUAUGCCCGGCCAUUUGGGCGUGCCCCCGAAAGACUGCUAGCCGAGUAGCGUGGGGUCGCGAAAGGCCUGGUGGUACUGCCUGAUAGGGUGCUGGGGAGUGCC